rnacentral:lncRNA from 1 species
UUUGUAACAGCGUCCUACAUAUUCUAGGAUGGCAUUAAACUCAUGCCAAGGAACCCAUGAAGUUCUGAUGGUUCUGCCUUCAACUUCUGAGCUCCGGGGUGAGGGGCAGGCACGACCAUACUUGUUUUAUGUUGUGCUGGGGACGGAAACCAGGGACAGGACAUGCCACAUAAGCACAGUCACACCUCCAGUCCAGACAUCAUCUUUAAAAUCUGAAAGUUUUAUACAAGUGGCAAAUGUAGGGACAGACGAGCGAACUUCAUUUGGUAUAGCUGCAUCCAGAAGGUCAGAGUAUGUGAGACGGUAAAUGCCAAAGAGAUCUGCCAGUCAGUUUCUCUUCUUUGCAUUGCUUUAUGCUUAAGUUAGCCAUCUCCAGGAGAACACUGAUGGUUCUAAGGACAUUCACAGAUUUCUAAGUCACCUAUCAUACAGAUAAGACGUUUGGGGGUCAGGUACCCUACCUUGGGCCACACAGUACCUUAGGCUGGACAGAGCCCAGAUCUUGUGUCCACUGCUGUUUACAGAUGAUCCAGUGCUGAUUGUCUCUAGAGAGACACAUAAGAAUUUGAUCCCACUGCUCAAAGAAGGCCCUAGGGAGAGAAAGUGAGCUAGCUAGUUUUUAUCAACUUGACACAAGCCAGAAUUACCUAGGAAGCGGAACCUCAAUUGAGAAAACAACCUCCAUCAGGUGGCCUGUAGGUGAGCCUGCCUGUAGAGCGUUUUCUUGAUUAAUGAUUGGUGUGGGAGGGCCCCCUCCACUGAGACUGGUGUCAUCCCUGGGCAAGUGAAAGCAGGCUGAGCAAGCAGUGAAGCCAGCCAGCAAGCAGCUCUUCUCCAUGGCUUCUCUUAGUUCUCGCCUCCGGUUCCCACCCUAAUUUCCCUCAGCGAUGGACAGUUAGAUACUGGCAGCUAUAAGA